rnacentral:pre_miRNA from 1 species
UGGACAGAUUAUUGUAUUCGACUGUAUUUAUGACGUGAAAUAGGGGAUUACACUAUUUUUAAAACGGAAAGUGAAUCAAUUAACAUAAUAUACUCCU